GGAACCCGGGCGCCUGCGUUUGGCGUCACUUCCGCUCUGCUUGGCGACAUCUUGCUGGAGGGCGGAAGUGCUGCUGAGGAGACGCCGAAAUGGCUCCGCCGGGGCGGCGGGACCCGCGGCCGCUGUGUCGCCUGGUGCUGGCAGCCGUUGUGCUGCUCUCCUGGGGCUUCGUUCUCUACGGGGCACGGGUGGCCGCCCAGCGGCAGCUGGAGAGCGGGCUCCCGGCGCAGGGGCUGCCCUAGGAGCGGCUGGGCCUGGUCUGCGGGUCUGGAGGAGCCAUCGGGGGAGCCCUGUGGCCAGUUCGGUGGACAAAGCAUAAAUAGCUCUUAAGAAAGUAAAUAAAGCAGAAGCAGUUACUAAGAAAGAGAAGAA